rnacentral:tRNA from 2 species
GCCGAAGUGGUGGAACUGGUAGACACGCUAGACUUAGGAUCUAGUGCCGCGAGGCGUGGAGGUUCAAGUCCUCUCUUCGGUACCA